UACGUAGGGGGCGAGCGUUGUCCGGAGUUACUGGGCAUAAAGCGCACGCAGGCGGUCUUCCAAGUCAGUGGUGAAAGCCCGGAGCCUCAACUCCGGAACUGCCAUUGAAACUGUUGGACUUGAGUACGAGAGAGGUGAGUGGAAUUCCCAGUGUAGAGGUGAAAUUCGAUAGAUAUUGGGAAGAACACCGGUGGCGAAGGCGGCUCACUGGCUCGUAACUGACGCUCAGGCGCGACAGCGUGGGGAUCAAACAGG
rnacentral:rRNA from 1 species